GACAUCAGAAUGAACAAAUGCACAUUAAUUCAAAAAUGAUUCAAAUAAUCUUGGCAAAAAUCAUGGGUAAACAGAACAUACAACAUGAUCAUCACACAAAAAAUUAGGAGCAUUGGCCAUCAAUAGGCAUGGUAAUCAAAUCACAUAAAUCAAGGCAAGCACGACAAGCUCAUAUGUGACACAAAAUGUCACACCAACUUAGCAUAGGCCUAAAACAGAAAUGAAACAUGGUAAAAACCUCAAACUAAAGCCAAAACAACAUUCAACAUGUCUAGAACUAGUGUGCAAAGUUUCACAAGCAUUGGAUAAAGAACAAGCAUUUCACAAUCAAAUGAAAUUCAAGACAAUUCAAAAGCUCACAAAUGACCAUCCAGAAUGAGAAAUCUCAAUCAAAUCAGAGAUCAAUCCAAAAAUUCCAACAAAACUCAUGAGCAACCACAACAUCCAUAUCAAGCAUCAUGCAAAAA
rnacentral:lncRNA from 1 species